CCUACGGGAGGCAGCAGUGGGGAAUAUUGGGCAAUGGAGGAAACUCCGACCCAGCAACGCCGCGCGAAUGAUGAAGGUCUUCGGAUUGUAAAGUUCUUUUCUAAGGGGAGAAGAAAGUGACGGUACCUUAGGAAUAAGCCUCGGCUAACUACGUGCCAGCAGCCGCGGUAAUUCGUAGGAGGCAAGCGUUCUCCGGAAUGACUGGGGGUAAAGGGUGCGUAGGUGGUUUGACAAGUUGGUAGCGAAACUCGGGGGCUUAACCUCGUCACUACUACCAAAACUGUGGGUCUUGAGUGCAGGAGAGGCAAAUGGAAUGCCUGGUGUAGCGGUGAAAUGCGUAGAUAUUAGGAGGAACUCCAGUGGCGAAGGCGAUUUGCUGGACUGUAACUGACACUGAGGCACGAAAGCGUGGGGAGCAAACAGGAUUAGAUACCCCAGUAGUC
rnacentral:rRNA from 1 species